ACAGCUAAGUAACUAUUUGGAAAGCUAGCUAGCAAACGUCUAGUGGUAAAAGUAACUCAUCAAAGCUUUUAAACCACAACUCCUAAGGGGAAAGGAAACGCUUUGGCGCCGACAAGACUCAGAGUCAUCAUCUGAAAGUCGCACGUUUUGAGCUGAAGCUGAGAAGGAGCAUCUCUGAAUAUUGCUGCAUCACUUCAAACUGAAGCUGAAGCACCUGGAGAGAUCCCUUGCAUGCACAAGGAGAACAUGCAAACUCUGCAAAGAAAGGCCCUGAACGACUGACCAGGAAGUGAACUAGGAAUCUGCUUGCUGUGAGGCAAGAAAAAGUACGACUACCUGUGGCUGCCCUGGUGUCCCAGGGGGUUCAUUAACUCCACAGUCCAGCGUUUAAACACAGCCAGAGGUUGUCUCCAUCUGAAACAUCGAAAAAGGGUGAAGAAUUUUAGUUGACACAGUGAGGAGGCUGUCAGCAACUUGAUGUGCAGCUGCCAAAGACCAUUAAAGGGUCACAAGUUCCCUUUGAACCUGCUUUAUAUGGAGAUGCUGCUGCCGUCACGACACUGGUUUGACACUCCAGACAGACACCCAAUCACACAAGGCUGUUCCUAGGUGUGUUGAUUGCUGCUAUAAAUGAAUGAAUGCAAGGCAUUUUUGUGCAGGAACAAACACUGGUUUAAGCCGGCUGACAGCUGAUUGAAGAUCAGCUGACACUGUCAUCUCAAACACACGACACCAUGGAGGAAAGGAAGUCUCAUGCACAUAUUUCUUCUGUCUUCUUCCCUCUGCUUCAUUUCCUCACGGCUCUCCAUGAUUCUCUGGUGGGAGGGACUAAGACAACAAAGUUAAUUCAGAAAUUUUAGUAUUAUAAUUGCCCAUUUUUGGGGGUGCCUGUGUCAGCUUACCUGUCCUUAUUCACACCAACAGUCCUUGAAAAAAUAAAGCCAAAUUAUCUUUACAACUCAGGGGCAGUGAUUGUGGAGAUGUAACUCUCAAAGGGGCAGCACUCAGACCUUUAUAGUAAAAGCUCAGUCCUUUAAAUCCCUAUCUCAGACUCUGGUUUAAAAUUUUUACUUUUUCAAAGAAACAUUUUGAUGCCUGCUUUUCAAAUUAGUGUGCGUGGGUUUGUACAUGUGUCAGGUAACCUCAUUGUGUCCCCUCACAGCACUUCACUAGUAACAGCAAGUGGGAUGUCUAAUGUUUUUAAUUAACUUAAAGGUUGAAUGUGUAAAAUUUAAUAUGGGAAAUUAAAAGAUGGUAAUUUC